GCUGCAGGGGUCAAAGGGUCAGGAUGAAUUGAUUUUAUCGACUUUCAUGGCUGGGAGGAGCCCCGCUGGGCCCAGCCUCGCUUCGCCCCUCACAACCCAUGGCAGCCCGUGGAGUCUUUGCUCCCUUGGGCAGGGCCCACUUCCAGAGCACCUCAACAGUGAGUGGGCCAGGCGGACAAAAUCCGUGUCCUCUGGGGUCCCCCUUCUAGAGGCGAGGCUGCUUUAUGUUCAGGUAUUCUCCUGAUUUAUUUAUUUAUUUAUUUUUUUGCUGGAGCCGAUGCCCCAGGAACCUGUCUUCAACCUGGCAUUAGAUCAAAGCCUUAAGCCGCCAGCAUGUCUCACCAACCUGGGCCACGUCCGCAGCAUCCUGUGAGCACCCCGGAGCUCGCCCCACGGUCACCGCCGAGCCCGGCCACCAGCCCACCCACAGCCCACUCUCCACGUGGCGGCCGAGUGUUUUCCAGCUCCGUCGUAUCACACCUCAAGACGCCCUUGACCAGGGCCGACGUGAUCAGACGUGAUCUGCACUCCCUCCUCCUGUGGCAGCACGCUGGAUCAGCACCUGCAUCCACGUUCCUCUCUGUCUCCAGGACGUCCUGCACGUGCCACCCCCUCCCCUGGAAGGCCUUCCUUCUCCUGCCUGCUCCUCAGGCAUCCGACUCCUUCUCUCCCUCGAGACCUGCUGUCAGCUUUGCAACCCCAGCUGGGGUUUUCCAGCCUAACUCUUUCCUUCCUCUCUUCACAGACUUUGUUACAACUUGAAGUUGUUGAUCCAUCCCCAGGCCCCACCCCAGCCCACCAGAACAUAAGCCCUAGGAGGGCAGGUAUGAUGCAGGUUUCAUUCACCACUCUGCUCUUAACACCUAGUCCACUGCCUGGCACAUGCGGGAUGUUCAACGAAUAUUCCCCAAAUGAAUGAAUGACUUGAAUGUUCAAUCGAAUCUACCAGAAUGUGUGUACUCAAAGGAACAUUUGCCUGAAUGGCCCGCCAGGCUCCUUACUCCACAGUCAGGGGGCAUGUUUUGGGGGGCAGAUACGGGUUUCCUUUCUCCCUCCUUCCUUCUCUGUGCUGUAUCACUGUAUCCAGUGAAGGAGACUCUAAAGACAAGGGCUGGAAGAGGAAAAGAAAAGAAAAAGCAGGAGGAGGUCAGGGACUGCUGGGGCUCAGGCAGGGACGGGCCAGGGAAGCACAGCAUCAGUCAUGUGAGAAAGCAGAGUCCCGAUGGCCCAGGGGAGGCCACCAGAACCAGUGCCUGUGCCCACUGUGGGGGGCACUAGCUGAACACAAGCGCCGGAAAUCUCGCUAAGUUAGUGCAUCUAACUGUGUGUGAGCAAUGUGCAUGAUGGACUUCACGAAAUAUACUACAUUAGCCAGACAGCUUUUGAGAUGCAUGAGCAAUGGGAGUGCCUGGACUGUAUUAAUUUGCCUUCUCCACAAGUGAGGAAAAUAAUAGGUAUUCAGUGAGUCAUUGUGGAAUAAAUAAAUGAAGAUUGAAUUUUGAGGUCCUUGG
rnacentral:lncRNA from 1 species